AACGCUGGCGGCGUGCCUAACACAUGCAAGUCCGAGCGGAGUCGAUCGACGGAAGCCUUCGGGCGGAAGAUAGGUUGACUUAGCGGCGGAUGGGUGAGUAACGCGUGGGCAACCUGCCUCGAAGACCGGGAUAACAGCCCGAAAGGGCUGCUAAUACCGGAUGUGGUCAAGGAUUCGCAUGGAUUUUUGAUUAAAGGGGAAACCCGUUUCGAGAUGGGCCCCGCGUCCUAUCAGCUAGUUGGUGAGGUAAAAGCUCACCAAGGCGACGACGGGUAGCCGGCCCGAGAGGGUGACCGGCCACACUGGAACUGAGACACGGUCCAGACUCCUACGGGGGGCAGCAGUGGGGAAUCUUCCACAAUGGGCGAAAGCCUGAUGGAGCGACGCCGCGUGAGCGAAGAAGGCCUUCGGGUUGUAAAGCUCUGUCUGGAGGGACGAAGGAAGUGACGGUACCUCCGGAGGAAGCCACGGCUAACUACGUG
rnacentral:rRNA from 1 species